rfam:Nippostrongylus brasiliensis genome assembly, scaffold: NBR_contig0003969
UUUAGGUAUGGAGACCUGGUACCAUUGAGCCCUCACGGCAAGAUUGUCGGCUCAAUGUGUGCCCUCAUCGGAGUGCUCACGUUGGCUCUGCCGGUGCCCAUCAUUGUAAGUGCU